rnacentral:rRNA from 1 species
GAUGAACGCUGGCGGCGUGCUUAACACAUGCAAGUCGAACGGAAAGGCCCAAGCUUGCUUGGGUACUCGAGUGGCGAACGGGUGAGUAACACGUGGGUGAUCUGCCCUGCACUUCGGGAUAAGCCUGGGAAACUGGGUCUAAUACCGGAUAGGACCACAUUUUGGAUGGUGUGGUGGAAAGUUUUUCGGUGUGGGAUGAGCUCGCGGCCUAUCAGCUUGUUGGUGGGGUAAUGGCCUACCAAGGCGUCGACGGGUAGCCGGCCUGAGAGGGUGUACGGCCACAUUGGGACUGAGAUACGGCCCAGACUCCUACGGGAGGCAGCAGUGGGGAAUAUUGCACAAUGGGCGCAAGCCUGAUGCACCGACGCCGCGUGGGGGAUGACGGCCUUCGGGUUGUAAACUCCUUUCGCUAGGGACGAAGCGUUAUGUGACGGUACCUGGAGAAGAAGCACCGGCUAACUACGUG